rnacentral:rRNA from 1 species
AGUGAACGCUGGCGGUAGGCCUAACACAUGCAAGUCGAACGGCAGCACAGUAAGAGCUUGCUCUUACGGGUGGCGAGUGGCGGACGGGUGAGGAAUACAUCGGCAUCUACUUUUUCGUGGGGGAUAACGUAGGGAAACUUACGCUAAUACCGCAUACGACCUACGGGUGAAAGCAGGGGAUCUUCGGACCUUGCGCGAUUGAAUGAGCCGAUGUCGGAUUAGCUAGUUGGCGGGGUAAAGGCCCACCAAGGCGACGAUCCGUAGCUGGUCUGAGAGGAUGAUCAGCCACACUGGAACUGAGACACGGUCCAGACUCCUACGGGAGGCAGCAGUGGGGAAUAUUGGACAAUGGGCGCAAGCCUGAUCCAGCCAUACCGCGUGGGUGAAGAAGGUCUUCGGGUUGUAAAGCCCUUUUGUUGGGAAAGAAAAGCAGUAGAUGAAUACCCCGCUGUUCUGACGGUACCCAAAGAGUAAGCACCGGCUAACUUCGUG